rnacentral:rRNA from 1 species
AUGCCGAUGCAGAUCCGUCACAGCCCACGUCCGUGUGCCCGCGGCCCGCAUGCUCCGUCAGCCACGGGCCCUGGGGCGCCGGGAUGGACCGCGAAGAUGCUCCGUCCUGCAGGGGCGCUGGAGCGCCGGGACGGACCACGUCCAAUGCUCGUCCCUUCCGCGGCUCGCUCGCAGCUCAAAAUCUUGCACCCGAGCACCAGCCCAAGCCAUGGCGCCACCACGGCCACGCGUGCAGUGGCCGGCUCCAACGUGCAGACCACGUCCGCCGCCACUAGCGCUCGUGUCCAAGGCAAGCUGCUGCUGCAGAGCUCCGACUCGCCCAGCAGCCCGCUCAGGCUGUCCCUCCAGCUCGUCAGCGCCACCGUCGCCGGGCGUGAUGAGCGCGGCGUGAGAGGGGAGGCGGCGGCGCUGGACGCCGUCAUAUCCAGCGGGGAGACGGAGGUCGACGUGGAGCUGCUGUGGGACGAGGCCCUGGGCGCGCCCGGCGCCGUGCUCGUGACAAACAACUCCGACUUCCCCGUGUACCUGAAGCUGCUGAGCCUGAGCUCGCCGGCCGUCCACUUCGUCUGCAACGGAUGGGUCUAUCCCGUCGGGAAGCACCCGUACCGCCUCUUCUUCACCAACGACGCGUACGUGAAGGAGAAGACGCCGCCGGCGCUGCGCAAGGACAGGGAAGACGAGCUCCGUCUGCUCCGGGGCGAGGGCGCGCCGGCAGACGCGCCGCUGCAGAAAUGGGACCGCGUGUACGACUACGCGCUCUACAACGACCUGGGAAACCCCGACCUGCGCGAGGACCUGGCGCGCCCGGUGCUGGGAGGGUCCGAAGAGUACCCGUACCCUCGCCGGACCAGGACCAGCCGGCCUCCGAGCAAGGCAGACCCCGCGAGCGAGACGAGGGCGUCGCUGGAGGAAGGGGUCUACAUCCCGUGCGACGAGCGGACCGGCGCCGUCGCCAAGGCGCCCAACCUUCCCAAGCUCGAGGGCCACUUCGGGUCCUUGGCGGAUGUCCACGGCCUCUUCGACACCAACGCCAAGCCCAUCGCAUUCCCCGUCCCACAGGUCAUCUCAGCGAAUCGAACAGCUUGGCGGACCGAUGAAGAGUUCGCCAGGCAAACACUCGCGGGGACAAACCCCCUGUCCAUCGAGCUCGUCACCGGCCUCCCACUCACGAGCAAGCUUGACCGGGCCCUGUAUGGUGACCAAGACAGCAAGAUAACCAAAGAGCACAUUGAGAAGAACUUGGGAAACAUGACCGUGGCGCAGGCUAUAGAAAAGGACAGGUUGUACGUUGUGGAUCACCACGACUGGGUGAUGCCGUACCUGAAGCGCAUCAACGAGCUGCCAGGCGACGAGGAGAAGGGCGAGAUCUCCGAGAGGAAGUCGUACGCCACAAGGACCCUCUUCUUCUUGCAAGACGACUCCACACUCAAGCCGCUGGCGAUCGAGCUCAGCUCGCCGCACCCAGAGGAUGAGCGCCUCGGCGCCACCAGCACCGUGUACACUCCUCCCGACCAACUCAAAGCCGGCGAAGCCGCCUCCGACACCUUCACGGCGUGGGACCUCGCCAAGGCCCACGCCGCCUCCAACGACGCCUGCAAGAACAACUACGUCCUUCACUGGCUGAGGACGCACGCGACGAUGGAGCCGGUGGUGAUCGCGGCGAACCGGCAGCUCAGCGUGCUGCACCCAAUCCACAAGCUUCUCAAGCCGCACUUCCGAAACACCUUGGACACAAAUUCCACGGCACGACACAUCGUCAUCGGCUCCGGCGACGAGCGACAGGGUGGUGCCUUUUACCGCAACAUGCACGAGGUCAACUUCUUCACCGGCAAGUACGGCAUGGAGAUGUCCUCCAAGGCAUACGCUUCAUUUAACUUCACCGAGCUCGCUUUCCCCAACGAACUCAUCAAGCGUGGAAUGGUGAGAGGAGCUCCGAAGAAACCUGAGGAGCUGGAGCUGCCGAGAAACGACGAGCUCAACAUCUUGACGGCGAUCUGGAAAUGGGUCACCGAACUCUUUUUCCCCAACGAACACAUCAAGACAGGUGUGGCGAGAGGCGAUCCGAAGAAGGCUGAGGAGCUGGAGCUGCUGAUAAAGGACUACCCGUACGCAGUCGACGGGCUGGAGAUCUGGACAGCCAUCAAGGAAUGGGUCACGGACUACUGCGCGAUAUACUACGCCGAGGGCGACGGCGCCGUCGCGGGCGACAGCGAGCUGCAGGCGUGGUGGAGCGAGGUGCGCAACGUGGGCCACGGCGACCUGAGCGACGCGCCGUGGUGGCCGGCGAUGGACAGCGUCGGCGACCUCGUGGAGACCUGCGCCACCAUCAUCUGGCUCGGCUCCGCCUACCAUUCCGCCGUCAGCUUCGGGCAGUACGCGUACAACGGCUUCGUCCCCAACCGCCCCACCGUCACCUCCGGGGAGAUGCCGGCCGGCGCCGGGGCGGCCGUGACCGAGGCGGAGUUCCUCGGCCACAUCACCCCGAAGAACGAGGCGUUCGGCCUCAUGGCGCUCACCAUGAGCCCGCCGGUGAAGCCGGGGGAGCCGCUCAUGGGAGAGCGGCCGGACACGGCACGGUGGACGAGCGAGCAGCGGGCAGCCAAGGCGCUGCUCGAGUUCAACGCGAAGCUGGACGCCGUCGCGGAGGCCGUCAAGAAGCGGAACGCCGACGGCGCGCUGCGGAACCGGAACGGGCCCGUGGAGGUGCCCUACACGCUCCUCGCGCCGAGGGCCGACCCUGCGGUGCCACACGUCGGCGGAAUUCCCAACAGCAUCGCCGUUUGA